rnacentral:tRNA from 1 species
UCUCUGGCAGUCCAGUGGUUAAAACUCUGCACUCCCAAUGCAGGCGACAUAGGUUUGAUCCCUGAUCAGGGAA